rnacentral:misc_RNA from 1 species
GAAAUGCGAUACGUAAUGUGAAUUGCAGAAUUCAGUGAAUCAUCGAAUCUUUGAACGCACAUUGCGCUCUUUGGUAUUCCGAAGAGCAUGCUUGUUUGAGUAUCAGUAAACACCUCAGUCUCUUUUUUUCUUGGAAAAAGGAAGCUGGAUUUGAGCAAACCCAACACUUUUUAUCUAGGUGGCGGGUUGCUUGAAAUGCAGGUGCAGCUGUAACAAGAACAGACUGAGCUAAAAGCAUAUCCAAUUUAGUCCGCACUCGUUGUGGAUUAUCUUUUUGCUGCAGCUACUCUAAGGUCGUCUUGUAUGAGCUGACUGAUGCAGGAUUUGUAAAAAAGAAGGGGAACCGCAAGGAACUCUUUUUUUCUUCAAAACUCGAUCUCAAAUCAAGUAAGACUACCCG